rnacentral:rRNA from 1 species
AUGGGAACGCGAAGAACCUUACCUACUCUUGACAUCCAGAGAACUUUCCAGAGAUGGAUUGGUGCCUUCGGGAACUCUGAGACAGGUGCUGCAUGGCUGUCGUCAGCUCGUGUUGUGAAAUGUUGGGUUAAGUCCCGCAACGAGCGCAACCCGUUAUCCUUUGUUGCCAGCGGUUCGGCCGGGAACUCAAAGGAGACUGCCAGUGAUAAACUGGAGGAAGGUGGGGAUGACGUCAAGUCAUCAUGGCCCUUACGAGUAGGGCUACACACGUGCUACAAUGGCGCAUACAAAGAGAAGCGACCUCGCGAGAGCAAGCGGACCUCAUAAAGUGCGUCGUAGUCCGGAUUGGAGUCUGCAACUCGACUCCAUGAAGUCGGAAUCGCUAGUAAUCGUAGAUCAGAAUGCUACGGUGAAUACGUUCCC